rnacentral:rRNA from 1 species
GGGACACGUGGUAUCCUGUCUGAAUAUGGGGGGACCAUCCUCCAAGGCUAAAUACUCCUGACUGACCGAUAGUGAACCAGUACCGUGAGGGAAAGGCGAAAAGAACCCCGGCGAGGGGAGUGAAAAAGAACCUGAAACCGUGUACGUACAAGCAGUGGGAGCACGCUUAGGCGUGUGACUGCGUACCUUUUGUAUAAUGGGUCAGCGACUUAUAUUCUGUAGCAAGGUUAACCGAAUAGGGGAGCCGAAGGGAAACCGAGUCUUAACUGGGCGUUAAGUUGCAGGGUAUAGACCCGAAACCCGGUGAUCUAGCCAUGGGCAGGUUGAAGGUUGGGUAACACUAACUGGAGGACCGAACCGACUAAUGUUGAAAAAUUAGCGGAUGACUUGUGGCUGGGGGUGAAAGGCCAAUCAAACCGGGAGAUAGCUGGUUCUCCCCGAAAGCUAUUUAGGUAGCGCCUCGUGAAUUCAUCUCCGGGGGUAGAGCACUGUUUCGGCAAGGGGGUCAUCCCGACUUACCAACCCGAUGCAAACUGCGAAUACCGGAGAAUGUUAUCACGGGAGACACACGGCGGGUGCUAACGUCCGUCGUGAAGAGGGAAACAACCCAGACCGCCAGCUAAGGUCCCAAAGUCAUGGUUAAGUGGGAAACGAUGUGGGAAGGCCCAGACAGCCAGGAUGUUGGCUUAGAAGCAGCCAUCAUUUAAAGAAAGCGUAAUAGCUCACUGGUCGAGUCGGCCUGCGCGGAAGAUGUAACGGGGCUAAACCAUGCACCGAAGCUGCGGCAGCGACGCUUAUGCGUUGUUGGGUAGGGGAGCGUUCUGUAAGCCUGUGAAGGUGUGCUGUGAGGCAUGCUGGAGGUAUCAGAAGUGCGAAUGCUGACAUAAGUAACGAUAAAGCGGGUGAAAAGCCCGCUCGCCGGAAGACCAAGGGUUCCUGUCCAACGUUAAUCGGGGCAGGGUGAGUCGACCCCUAAGGCGAGGCCGAAAGGCGUAGUCGAUGGGAAACAGGUUAAUAUUCCUGUACUUGGUGUUACUGCGAAGGGGGGACGGAGAAGGCUAUGUUGGCCGGGCGACGGUUGUCCCGGUUUAAGCGUGUAGGCUGGUUUUCCAGGCAAAUCCGGAAAAUCAAGGCUGAGGCGUGAUGACGAGGCACUACGGUGCUGAAGCAACAAAUGCCCUGCUUCCAGGAAAAGCCUCUAAGCAUCAGGUAACAUCAAAUCGUACCCCAAACCGACACAGGUG